UGUCAGAGUGUUGGAACUGGUAUACAUGCGGCACUUAGAAUGCCGUGCCUUCGGGAUUGUGGGUUCGACUCCCACCUCUGACACCAU
rnacentral:tRNA from 1 species